rnacentral:pre_miRNA from 1 species
AGGAGCAACAGCCCUAGUGGCGGGGCCAGCUCUGGAAACCUGGAUUCAGCCCCCGCAGGAACUCCGGAGCUCUCCGUCUGCAGGGCCUGGAGGCUCCGGGUCGGG